rnacentral:rRNA from 1 species
CCUACGGGUGGCAGCAGUGAGGAAUAUUGGUCAAUGGGCGCGAGCCUGAACCAGCCAAGUCGCGUGAGGGAAGACGGUCCUAUGGAUUGUAAACCUCUUUUGUCGGGGAGCAAAAGACGCCACGCGUGGCGUUCCGAGCGUACCCGAAGAAAAAGCAUCGGCUAACACCGUGCCAGCAGCCGCGGUAAUACGGAGGAAGCGAGCGUUAUCCGGAGUUAUUGGGUUUAAGGGGUGCGCAGGCGGAAGAUCAAGGCAGCGGUAAAAUUGAGAGGCUCAACCUCUUCGAGCCGUUGAAACUGGUUUGCUUGAGUGAGUGAGAGGUAUGCGGAAUGCGUGGUGUAGCGGUGAAAUGCAUAGAUAUCACGCAGAACUCCGAUUGCGAAGGCAGCAUACCGGCGCUCAACUGACGCUCAUGCACGAAAGUGUGGGUAUCGAACAGGAUUAGAUACCCGAGUAGUC